UGCAAGAGACCCUGGGUUUGAUUUCUAGCACUGCAAAAAUAAAUGAAAAAAAUUUUUUUUCUAUGUGACAUGCAAAUUUCUCCUGGUAUUGGAAGUGAUUCUUCUCUUCCAAAGUGACUGUGAUGUGUAGUAAUUAAGAAAGUGGCUGACCCUACAGUAGAUGACUAACGUCCCUGCCGCCAGCAGUGGUAUUUGGAGUUGCCUCUCCUCCUGUGGUGAGGGCUGUCCUGAGCCACUCAACUCCCCCACCUGCGCUUCUAGUUGAACAGAGCUGUGGAAGAGGUGGACAGCGUUUCUGUCUACUCACAACUGGACAAUUUCUCAGAUCCAACUUCUGUCUUUGAGUAUGUUAACAGGGUUAAUAUAGUCAGCUGUGACAUUUAUACACGUGAUAAUUACUUAAAUAGAAGGAAAAAUAGGGCUUAUUUUAGGUGGUAGUCUACUGAAAUCCUUCAAAAGACAUAAAAAUGUUCUCACUAUGUGUGAAUGAAUAUAUUCUGCUAAAUGGGACAACAUGACAACAAAAUGGAAAAGUAACAUUUUAUUAUAACCUGUAAAUAAAAGUUUUUCCCUUACUAGGAAAGUUUGAAAAUACUAAACUUUUAAUUAAAAUAAUUUUGAAGGAAUGAAUUAAGUUCAGUGUAGAAAUGUUUGUCAUAAAGAAUAUAAUGCCUUUUAAAUUUUGCCUGUGAUUUAUUUGAAUUUUUAAUUUUCUUCUAGAUCCUGAAGAAUUCUUAAAUAUCCUGUUUCAUGAUAUUUUAAGGGUUGAACCAUUGUUAAAAAUAAGGUAACUUUCAAGCUGUCUAGAAGCACUGGGCAGUAGAUCUUCUUUUCCACUGCCAUCCCUCAAUAGGAAUGAAAUCCCUGCUGCUCCUCAGCGUUAUCUGAGUGUAGUUAAGCAUUGUAAGGACAGAUGUGGGUUCCCUUAGCUGCCACCCUUUCCCUGGGCUACACUUGCAGAGCACAAGGUGAACCUGCCCUUUGAAUUAGCCCGAGUGAAGAUGUGCCCACAACUUAUUUACUUAUGCAAUUGAAUAUGAAUAUUUUUGGAAGCUCAGUUAAUAAGCUUUUAAAGAGAAUCUUAUUCUAAUUGAAUUAAAGAAGAAAGAAAGAAAGAAAGAAAGAAAGAACGAAAGAAAGGAAGAAAGAAAAAAACCACCUGAGAACAUUGUAGUUUUUUUGUUUUUUGGGUUUUUUUUUUUUUUGUUUUUGUUUUUUGGUUUUUUUACUUCCCCUUACUUACAGAGCUCAGUUAGCUUUAAAAUAGCUCUCUAGUUCUCUGUUUAGUAACUUGAUCUCUUCAUUCUCUCCAUGUUGAAAAUAUUACCUGAGUUUACUGUGGUAUAGUUCUUAAUGAGAUAUUCUAAAUGUCAGCACUUUCCAGGUCAUUUGAGAGGUCGCAGUGGUAGACCCCUCUCGAUUUCAAUCUUGGUUUCUCUGUUGAAAAUGUUAGGAAUAUUUGUUCUGUCUACUUCCUUAAGAUCCCAACACUGCCGAGUUAGUUCUCUUACCUCUGUCUCAGUGAUGUACUUUGAACCAAUGCUAAACUGGUUUGUGGGAACAAGGAAAGUGCACAGUGAAAGUUUGGUACUUCGUAGGAGCUUCUAACAAAUGACAUUGAGUGUACAUACUUAACAGCAAGUCAGAGCUGCCAUAGCUUUCUAUGUGCCUAGAAAAUCAAAGAGAAUUAACAAAAGAGUUUAUAAUCCGGCCAAAAAUUAAAAAGUAAUCAUGGAAAUGUCAGUAACAUUUUUUUAUUCCUUCAAGCAUAUAGAAAAUUGAAAAUUUUAUGUUCUAGGAAAGAAAAAUAGGCAGCAAUCAAGUUUUUAAAAAUAGAGUUAAAAAAAGAUUUACACUAAGCUAAAAGGUAGAUUUGGUUAGUGAGAAAGAUUAAAUAAUUAAACAUGUUAGGUUUUUUUUUUUUCAAAAUAACUUGCAUUUUGACAGAAUCCAACUUAUUGUCCUUUCUUUGGAACUCAAGAAAAUGAUUUUAGAGUUUUCUACAAAAUGAAGUGGGUAAAAAUGCCGUCAGGUUUUUUUUUUUUAAACUUUCUAUUGAUUCUUUGUGAGUUUCACAUCAUACACCCCAAGCCUGCUCAUUUCCCCAGCCCCUUGCAACCUCCCCCUGCCAAAAUAAACAAAAAAGACCAUACGAACAAACAAAGCAAAACAAAGCGUAGAAACCAUCUCAUCGUGGAAGCUGUUGUCUGCGACAGUGUGACCCACAGUGUACCCCUCUGUCCUCACAUCUUCACUUGCAAAUGUUCAUUGAAGUGAGUCACUGGUCUGGUUCAUGAACUCUAGGCUUCCGUGACACCAUCAAUAUUGGAGCUCAUUGGGACUCCUCCUGGUUGUCCCGUUGUUGCUUUGUUUCCCAGAGAUCCGGCAACUCUGGAUCAUCAGGACUGGCCCUUUCAUGUGUCCCAUUUGCAGAUGACAUAGAUUUUGAGGUGGGCCAACUCAGAGCCCUGGAUCUAGACCUGGGUGGUAGCUGAGCUCGUCAACACACUGCCUCUCACUUAUCCACACCACUGGGAUGAGCUCUCCAGCACUGCCCAGGCCAGGCCACCCAGUGCAGCCUUUAGCAGGAGGGAGGGUCAGCUCUCCUGCUCCUGCCCUCGGGGCCUGCUCAGCCACACCCACACCUCCAGAGUCAGCUUCUCCUUGAUGCCCAGUCAGGGGGCUGGGCCCACUCUGCCAAGUGCUGCAGCCUGUGAAGCUUUCACAUCCUAAGGGCUGGCCCACCAGAGCUUUCACCAUCAGGGUUAGCUCUCUUCCUCUCAUGCCCUUGUGGUCAGCUCUCCUACUACUGUAGAUGGUGAGGAGUGGAGGAGGCCAUCACCCCUGCACCCUCACUACUCUACAAUAGAUGAGUGGUAGGGCCAGCUUUCCUACACUCUUGGCCUCAGGGCUGGCUCACCCAUGCUGCUUCUCCCCAACCCCCACCACUGACCAGGGUCAGCACUACUGUGCUGACCAGGGGAGGCAUAGGGGCCACACUCCUAAGUGCUGCACCAGUGAGUGGCAGGGCCAGCUCGCUUGCUCUCAUGACUCCAGCCAGCUCUCCUGCUACCAUAGGCGUAGGAUUCUUUUAUU
rnacentral:lncRNA from 1 species